CAUUCACCUUCCCCACUUGAGUCGCAGAUACCUGCCAGACACUCAACCGUUGAUAUUGCCGACGCUCGACUGCAUAUAGUCCCUCUUGGAGACUCAUUUGAAAAUUCAGUAACUGUUGUUCGUGAGAUUAAUCAAAUUGUGAAUAACUUUUGGAAAGGAGACUCAAUGUCAUACUCAAGCACUCCAGCACCCACAAAAGAACUCUGGUGGUGCGAGUUUAAGCGAUUAUUUAGUUGGGACCCUUAUUUUGAGAUGGAAGUUAAAAGAAUUUUCAAAAAGAAAUGUGGUGAUCACAUUCGGCAUGUAUUAAACCAUGCCAAAAGUACUGGAAAAAAGCCUCCCUUUAUCACGACGAA